AUCCUGCUCGAAGAUGGGGGGACCAUCCUCCAAGGCUAAAUACUCGUGAUCGACCGAUAGCGUACCAGUACUGUGAAGGAAAGGUUAAAAGAACCCCGGGAGGGGAGUGAAAUAGAUCCUGAAACCGCAUACAUACAAACAGUAGGAGCCUCGUUAAGGGGUGACUGCGUACCUUUUGCAUAAUGGGUCAGCGACUUACGUUUAAUGGCGAGCUUAACCGUAUAGGGGAGGCGCAGCGAAAGCGAGUUCGAACAGAGCGUUCAGUCGUUAGGCGUAGACCCGAAACCAGAUGAUCUAUCCAUGGCCAGGUUGAAGGUGUGGUAACACACACUGGAGGACCGAACCGACUAGUGUUGCAAAAUUAGCGGAUGAGCUGUGGAUAGGGGUGAAAGGCUAAACAAAUCUGGAGAUAGCUGGUUCUCCCCGAAAACUAUUGAGGUAGUGCCUCGUGUAUGACUCCAGGGGGUAGAGCACUGUUAUGGCUAGGGGGACAUGGCGUCUUACCAAACCAUGGCAAACUCCGAAUACUUGGAAGUUUGAGCACGGGAGACAGAGCACCGGGUGCUAACGUCCGGACUCAAGAGGGAAACAACCCAGACCGCCGGCUAAGGUCCCUAAUAUUGACUAAGUGGAAAACGAAGUGGAAAGGCUAAGACAGUCAGGAAGUUGGCUUAGAAGCAGCCAUCCUUCAAAGAAAGCGUAAUAGCUCACUGAUCGAGUCUUUCUGCGCGGAAGAUGUAACGGGGCUAAGUCAAUAACCGAAGCCGCGGAUUCACACUUGUGUGUGAGUGGUAGGGGAGCGUUCUGUAAGCCUGCGAAGGUGACUCGUAAGGGUUGCUGGAGGUAUCAGAAGUGCGAAUGCUGACAUGAGUAACGUUAAAGCGGGUGAAAAGCCCGCUCGCCGUAAGCCCAAGGUUUCCUGCUCUACGUUCAUCGGAGCAGGGUGAGUCGGCCCCUAAGGUGAGGCUGAGAAGCGUAACUGAUGGGAACAAGGUUAAUAUUCCUUGACCACCGCUGAAUGCGAAGGGGGGACGGAGUAUUGAAGAUCAUCCGGGUGUUGGAUAUCCCGGUUUGCGAGCGUAGGAGGCUGACAGGCAAAUCCGUCAGCGAAUCUCCGAGGCAAAGCAUCGAGCUCUCUUUUGAGCGAAGUGAUUGGAUGUGCUUCCAGGAAAAGCCUCUAAGCUCCAGUUCAGCGGGACCGUACCGCAAACCGACACUGGUGGGCGAGCUGAAUAUGCUCAGGCGCUUGAGAGAACUCAGGAGAAGGAACUCGGCAAAUUGACACCGUAACUUCGGGAUAAGGUGUGCCUUUGUAGCGUGGAGGGAGAAACACCCCGAGCGCGAAGAGGUCUCAGAUAAUCGGUGGCUGCGACUGUUUAUUAAAAACACAGCACUCUGCAAAGACGAAAGUCGACGUAUAGGGUGUGAUGCCUGCCCGGUGCUGGAAGAUUAAUUGAUGGGGUGCAAGCUCCUGAUCGAAGUCCCAGUAAACGGCGGCCGUAACUAUAACGGUCCUAAGGUAGCGAAAUUCCUUGUCGGGCAAGUUCCGACCUGCACGAAUGGCAUAACGAUGGCCACACUGUCUCCUCCUGAGACUCAGUGAAGUUGAAGUGUUUGUGAUGAUGCAAUCUCCCCGCGGCUAGACGGAAAGACCCCAUGAACCUUUACUGUAGCUUUGCAUUGGACUUUGAACCGAUCUGUGUAGGAUAGGCGGGAGCCUGUGAAACCACAACGCCAGUUGUGGCGGAGGCGUCCUUGAAAUACCGCCCUGAUUUGUUUGAGGUUCUAACCUGGGACAGUCAUCCUGUCCGGGGACCGUGCAUGGUAGGCAGUUUGACUGGGGCGGUCUCCUCCUAAAGGGUAACGGAGGAGUGCGAAGGUACGCUAGGUACGGUCGGAAAUCGUGCUGAUAGUGCAAUGGCAAAAGCGUGCUUGACUGCGAGACCCACAAGUCGAGCAGAUACGAAAGUAGGUCAUAGUGAUCC
rnacentral:rRNA from 1 species